rnacentral:rRNA from 1 species
UACGGAGGAUGCAAGCGUUAUCCGGAAUGAUUGGGCGUAAAGCGUCCGCAGGUGGCUAUGUAAGUCUGCUGUUAAAGAGUGAGGCUCAACCUCAUAAGAGCAGUGGAAACUACAUGGCUAGAGUGCGUUCGGGGCAGAGGGAAUUCCUGGUGUAGCGGUGAAAUGCGUAGAGAUCAGGAAGAACACCGGUGGCGAAAGCGAUCUGCUAGGCCGCAACUGACACUGAGGGACGAAAGCUAGGGGAGCGAAUGGG